CACCUCGAUGUCGGCUCAUCGCAGUCCUGGGGCUGUAGUCGGUCCCAAGGGUUGGGCUGUUCGCCCAUUAAAGCGGUACGCGAGCUGGGUUCAGAACGUCGUGAGACAGUUCGGUCCCUAUCCGUCGCGGGCGCAGGAAAUUUGAGAGGAGCUGUCCUUAGUACGAGAGGACCGGGAUGGACGUUCCGCUGGUGUACCAGUUGUGCCGCCAGGCGCAUCGCUGGGUAGCUAUGAACGGCAGGGAUAAACGCUGAAAGCAUCUAAGUGUGAAGCCCCCCUCGAGAUGAGAUUUCCCAUUCCUAUAUGGAAGUAAGACCCCUGAGAGAUGAUCAGGUAGAUAGGCUGGAAGUGGAAGUGCAGCGAUGCAUGGAGCGGACCAGUACUAAUCGGUCGAGGACUUAACCAA
rnacentral:rRNA from 2 species